rnacentral:rRNA from 1 species
GUGCCAGCCGCCGCGGUAAUACAGAGGGUGCGAGCGUUAAUCGGAUUUACUGGGCGUAAAGCGUGCGUAGGCGGCUUCUUAAGUCGGAUGUGAAAUCCCUGAGCUUAACUUAGGAAUUGCAUUCGAUACUGGGAAGCUAGAGUAUGGGAGAGGAUGGUAGAAUUCCAGGUGUAGCGGUGAAAUGCGUAGAGAUCUGGAGGAAUACCGAUGGCGAAGGCAGCCAUCUGGCCUAAUACUGACGCUGAGGUACGAAAGCAUGGGGAGCAAACAGGAUUAGAUACCCUGGUAGUCCAUGCCGUAAACGAUGUCUACUAGCCGUUGGGGCCUUUGAGGCUUUAGUGGCGCAGCUAACGCGAUAAGUAGACCGCCUGGGGAGUACGGUCGCAAGACUAAAACUCAAAGGAAUUGGCGG